CCACAGUAGCUCAGUGGUAGAGCUAUCGGCUGUUAACCGAUCGGUCGUAGGUUCGAGUCCUACCUGUGGCG
rnacentral:tRNA from 1 species